rnacentral:rRNA from 1 species
UACAGAGGGGGCAAGCGUUGUUCGGAAUUACUGGGCGUAAAGGGCGCGUAGGCGGCCUGCUAAGUCGAACGUGAAAUCCCCGGGCUCAACCCGGGAACUGCGUCCGAUACUGGCUGGCUUGAAUCCGGGAGAGGGAUGCGGAAUUCCAGGUGUAGCGGUGAAAUGCGUAGAUAUCUGGAGGAAUACCGGUGGCGAAGGCGGCAUCCUGGACCGACAUUGACGCUGAUGAGCGAAAGCUAGGGGAGCAAACGGG